GACGAACGCUGGCGGCGUGCCUAACACAUGCAAGUCGAGCGGAGUUACGAGGAGUUUACUUCAAGUAACUUAGCGGCGGACGGGUGAGUAACACGUGGGCAACCUGCCCUAUACUGGGGGAUAGCCAACCGAAAGGUUGAUUAAUACCGCAUAACACUAUGUAAUCGCAUGAUAAUAUAGUCAAAGGAGAAAUCCGGUAUAGGAGGGGCCCGCGUCCCAUUAGCUAGUUGGUGAGGUAGAGGCUCACCAAGGCGACGAUGGGUAGCCGAUCUGAGAGGAUGACCGGCCACAUUGGAACUGAGACACGGUCCAGACUCCUACGGGAGGCAGCAGUGGGGAAUAUUGCGCAAUGGGGGAAACCCUGACGCAGCAACGCCGCGUGGAGGAUGAAGGCCUUCGGGUCGUAAACUCCUGUCUUUUGGGACGAUAAUGACGGUACCAAAGGAGGAAGCCACGGCUAACUACGUGCCAGCCGCCGCAGUAAGAC
rnacentral:rRNA from 1 species